rnacentral:rRNA from 1 species
UACGUAGGAUGCAAGCGUUGUCCGGAAUUAUUGGGCGUAAAGAGCGAGCAGGCGGUUCUACAAGUCAGAUGUAAAAUAUCCCGGCUUAACCGGGAGGGGCCAUUUGAAACUGUCGGACUAGAGUGGAGCAGAGGAUAGUGGAAUUCCCGGUGUAGUGGUGAAAUGCGUAGAUAUCGGGAGGAACACCAGUGGCGAAGGCGACUAUCUGGGCUUUAACUGACGCUGAGGCGCGAAGGCCGGGGGAGCAAACAGG